rnacentral:rRNA from 1 species
CAGUCGCCGCGGUAAUACAGAGGGUGCAAGCGUUAAUCGGAAUUACUGGGCGUAAAGCGCGCGUAGGUGGUUUGUUAAGUUGGAUGUGAAAGCCCCGGGCUCAACCUGGGAACUGCAUCCAAAACUGGCAAGCUAGAGUACGGUAGAGGGUGGUGGAAUUUCCUGUGUAGCGGUGAAAUGCGUAGAUAUAGGAAGGAACACCAGUGGCGAAGGCGACCACCUGGACUGAUACUGACACUGAGGUGCGAAAGCGUGGGGAGCAAACAGGAUUAGAUACCCUCGUAGUCCCUGUCUCUUAUAC